rnacentral:rRNA from 1 species
CCUACGGGUGGCAGCAGUGGGGAAUAUUGGGCAAUGGGGGAAAGCCUGAUCCAGCAACGCCGCGUGAAUGAAGAAGUCUUUCGGGUUGUAAAGCUCUUUCGACAGGGAAGAGAGGAAGACGGUUACCUUCGAAUAAGCCACGGCCAACUACGGGCCAGCAGCCGCUGUAAUACGUAGGGGGCAAGCGUUGUUCGGAUUUACCGGGUGGAAAGGGCGGGGAGACGGGCUGGCAAGUUUGGGGUGAAAGGCGGGGGCUCAACCCCCGGACUGCAUUUGAAACUGUAUAACUGGAGUGUCGGAGAGGCAGGCGGAAUUCCUAGUGUAGCGGUGAAAUGCGUAGAUAUUAGGAGGAACACCAGUGGCGAAGGCGGCCUACUGGACGGUAACUGACGGUGAGGCGCGAAAGCGUGGGGAGCAAACAGGAUUAGAUACCCCUGUAGUC